AGAGUUUGAUCAUGGCUCAGGACGAACGCUGGCGGCGUGCUUAACACAUGCAAGUCGAGCGAGGUCCACGCAGUGGCAACACUGUUGAAGACCUAGCGGCGAACGGGUGAGUAACACGUGAGCAACCUGCCCCGAAGGCUGGGAUAACACCGGGAAACCGGUGCUAAUACCGGAUGCCUUCCUCUGGUCGCAUGGCCUAGGGAAGAAAUGAAUUUUGCUUCGGGAGGGGCUCGCGGGCUAUCAGCUUGUUGGUGAGGUAACGACUCACCAAGGCGACGACGGCUAGCUGGUCUGAGAGGACGACCAGCCACACUGGGACUGAGACACGGCCCAGACUCCUACGGGAGGCAGCAGUGGGGAAUCUCGCGCAAUGGGCGUAAGCCUGACGCAGCAACGCCGCGUGGGGGAUGAAUGCCUUCGGGUUGUAAACCCCUUUCAGCAGGGACGAAAAUGACGGUACCUGCAGAAGAAGCCCCGGCCAACUACGUGCCAGCAGCCGCGGUAAUACGUAGGGGGCGAGCGUUGUCCGGAUUUAUUGGGCGUAAAGAGCUCGUAGGCGGCUUGGCAAGUCGGGUGUGAAACCUCCAGGCUCAACCUGGAGACGCCACUCGAGACUGCUAUGGCUAGAGUCCGGUAGGGGACCACGGAAUUCCUGGUGUAGCGGUGAAAUGCGCAGAUAUCAGGAGGAACACCGGUGGCGAAGGCGGUGGUCUGGGCCGGCACUGACGCUGAGGAGCGAAAGCGUGGGUAGCAAACAGGAUUAGAUACCCUGGUAGUCCACGCCGUAAACGUU
rnacentral:rRNA from 1 species